CCUCCUUUUUUCCGCCGUGCGGCCUCUUGGUCCCUGGCCGCGCGGCUGCCCCAGCCAAGUCGCGUGAGGGAAGACGGCCCUACGGGUUGUAAACCUCUUUUGUCGGGGAGCAAAGCGAGUCACGUGUGACUCAUUGAGAGUACCCGAAGAAAAAGCAUCGGCUAACUCCGUGCCAGCAGCCGCGGUAAUACGGAGGAUGCGAGCGUUAUCCGGAUUUAUUGGGUUUAAAGGGUGCGCAGGCGGAGGUGCAAGUCAGCGGUCAAAUUGCGGGGCUCAACCCCGUACUGCCGUUGAAACUGCAUCCCUUGAGUGCGCGAGAAGUAUGCGGAAUGCGUGGUGUAGCGGUGAAAUGCAUAGAUAUCACGCAGAACUCCGAUUGCGAAGGCAGCAUACCGGCGCGCAACUGACGCUCAUGCACGAAAGCGUGGGUAUCGAACAGGAUUAGAUACCCUGGUAGUC
rnacentral:rRNA from 1 species